rnacentral:tRNA from 1 species
AUCAGUAUUUUUAUUAAACUAUUUUUUGUGAAUGUAGUUUAAAUUAAAACAUCAAUUUUGUAAAUUGAAA